rnacentral:rRNA from 1 species
CUACGGGACGCUCCAGUGAGGAAUAUUGCACAAUGGAGGAAACUCUGAUGCAGCAACGCCGCGUGGAGGAUGACGCAUUUCGGUGUGUAAACUCCUUUUAUAUGUCAAGAAAAUGACGGUAGCAUAUGAAUAAGCACCGGCUAACUCCGUGCCAGCAGCCGCGGUAAUACGGAGGGUGCAAGCGUUACUCGGAAUCACUGGGCGUAAAGGACGCGUAGGCGGGAUACCAAGUCAGGUGUGAAAUCCUACAGCUUAACUGUAGAACUGCACUUGAAACUGGUAACCUAGAGUAUGGGAGGGGGAGAUGGAAUUAGUGGUGUAGGGGUAAUAUCCGUAGAUAUCACUAGGAAUACCUAAAGCGAAGGCGAUCUCCUGGAACAUUACUGACGCUAAGGCGUGAAAGCGUGGGGAGCAAACAGGAUUAGAUACCCCCGUAGUC